UUUUGGUAAUGCGCCAUAGAUUGCAUUGAAGCAUUUUAACUGCCGUGUAUGAUCGAAAUAAUAAGAUAUUAUUUUGUACUACAAUCAUAAAUCUCUCUCUCUCUCUCUCUCUCGAUGGUAGGCUCUUGGCGUUCAAACAAAAUAACAACAGUUCGAAACUGUGAAUGCAUAAGUUCUGCAAUCUGCAAACGCUAAGAAGAAACAAUGACAGGUGAAAGACUUGUCGUUGUAAAGAGCGCUAGCCAGGUGUAUGUUUGAUUACGUAAGUGAAGUACCGCAGUUAGGAAAUUAAGUGUCCGACAACACUUCAGAUUGACAAAACGUGCUGUUCUAUAGUCUCAGGUGCAGUGUUCACACAGACACAUAGGUGAUGGAAAGCGAUGGAGCAAACAUUAACAGAUGGAGAAUAUUACUUCCUGGUACUUCUGAUUACACUUCCUGUCAAUUUGUUUUUCUGUCUGUGGGCUUGGCUUGGAUGGGAGCUUUUUAAAAAUAAUUAGGGCUACAUUGAAAUAAAACUAUCAUGCCAUUCAAAUUUUUUCCGAUAUUACUAGUUCAUCAAGUCCCAUAUUUCCUCUGUGCUUCCAGACUCUGUAUCGCGCCAAGUCUUUCCGUGUAACCAUACCAACCACCUGAAAUCAUUCCAUAUUAAGUCCAGAUAAUGAUCCUACUCAUUAUAGUAUCAAAUACAGAUAAUUUUUCAACUUAUGAACAGAUACAACUAGUGUGCAAACAAAAGUUUCACUUGUGACCCUAGAAGAUGCAGUUUUAUAUUAUAUUAAGUGUAUUACUGUAGUAGAGUAGCAUGUGACAGAGAGAUAUAUAUCCAACUUAAAACAACAACUUACUUCAUUGGCAUCAUUAACAACAGGCAAAUGUCUGAGCCCCAGAGCACGAAAGAGUCUGAAGACGCGAGGGAGUGAAGCUGACUGCAAGAGCUCCAGGACUUAAAGAAUGCUACUAUCACUGUGGAACUUUUCAGAAGCAAGCAGAAUACAGCCUCAUCUGAAUGUGGAAUGUGAUUCUGAACAUGGUUAUCUGUCCUAUCUCUGAAUUUACUCUUUUUCAGUUAUUUAUUAUCUGCUUUCUGUCUGUCUGUCUACCUAUGGCAGAGCUACUUGGUCAUGACAAGUUAGUAGACAGUAUACAGAAUGCCAAUUAGAAAAUUUGUAAAAUAAAAGAAUUAAUAAAAAUACAAAUUUGAGAAGUAUACAAAUAAAUAAUACAAUACAGAGAAA